rnacentral:ncRNA from 1 species
UAAAAAUUUGAUUCUUGUUUUUAUAAAUAAUUUAUGGAUAAGAUUUACAUGUAAGGUUUUGUGUGAUAUAAAAGGGGAUAAAUCUAGAAGAUUUAUUUUUAUAUUUGUUUUUCGCAGUUUAAAUAGUUGCUUCUUAUUAAUUUUAGAUGCAGUUAUUUCAUUUUUGAUUAGCAAAGGUUGUGCCAGCGGCUGCGGUUAUACAAUCAAUCAAAGUUAUUUUUUAUUGAGUGUGUAUUUAUAGGUUUAUAUUGAUUAUAUAUUUUUAUAUUUUUAAGUGAAAUUUAAAUAUAUUUAAAUUUAUUGGGUUAAGUUUUAGAAUUAAUAUGAAAUUUAUUUUUAGACUAGGAUUAGAUACCCUAUUAUUUUAAAUGUAAUUUUAUACCUUUAGUAUUAUUAGUUAUGAUCUUUAAAUUAAAAGGAUUUGACGGUAAUUUAAUCUUUUCAGAGGAACCUGUUCUUUAAUUGAUAAUCCACGAUAAAUCUAACCUUUAUUAAAAUUGAAUAUAUAACUUGUAUACCUCUGUUUAUUGAGUGUUUUAUUAGAAUUGAUUCUCUUUAAUUUAUUUUAAAAUUGAUAUCAGGUCAAGGUGCAGUUGUAUAAAGGUUGAAAUGGGUUACAUUAAUUUAUAAUUAUGGAUUGAAUAUUGUAAUUAAUUUUCAUGAAAUUGGAUUUGAUAGUAAUUUUUAUUAUAUUUUAAUAAUGAUUUAUGCUCUAGAUUAAGUACACAUCGCCCGUCACUCUCAUUAUUUAAGAUGAGAUAAGUCGUAACAAAGUAGGCUUACCGGAAGGUGAGCCUAGAAAUAA